GUGUGUGUAUAUGUUUGUGCAUACAUGUAUACAAUUUUUUAAUUUGAAUUCUGUUCGUUAAACUACUUUUACCUUUAAUACUAUAGCUAUAACAGAAAAAAUAGGUAUUUAAUCCCUUUUGACUGUGAAGAAAGCUUGCUGUAUAAAAUAUCUGGUUCAACAAUUAAGUCAUAGAUACGUAGUAGAUUUGAACUCAUAAUCCAUGAACUCCUAAUUCACUAUUUUAUCCAUUCUACUAAUUUAUCACCAAAUAUACUGAGGAUUACCUCCCAAUAAAAUUCCUUUCCUAUUAAUUCUUGUCAGUAAUCUGUAAAUCUUCAUCCUUGCUGUGAAACAACUGUUGUUAAAAAAGUACAAAACUAUAUUAACAACAGACUGAAUUUAUGCAUACUCAGUCCAUGAUGGUGUCUGAGUGGUUCUUGACUAAGAAAAACGUCUGUGAUCUAGUUUUGUGUUUUAGUUGAAACUGUUUCAUUGAAAUUACUAAAUGUCCUUUGAAAGUCCUGAGCACCAACCACUUCCAAUUUGUGCCUGCACCUCACAAGGGAACUCCAUAUUUAAAAGUAUAUAUAAAAAAUUUCUGUUCACCAUAUUGACAAUAUUCUUUAUGCAUAAGACUCACUCCAACAUUUGUUAUCGAGAGAUCCUGAAAACAUAUUUAGAAUUAGAACUUUUGUAGCAUUUCUUUUCCAUUGUGGCAUGAAAUACUCCCAAGCUUUUUGUUGGUAACAAUUUAUUUAAAAAAAAAAAAUUCUGAAAAAAAAUUAACUAAGGGAAAUAACUCAACUGGACAAAAGGCAAGCAGAAAAUUCUUAAUUAAAAUUUUCUCCACAGACUAUUUUUUCAUAGAUUUUUUUCUUCCUUUCUCUAACUAAUAGGCACAGACAUGGUUGUGCGGUAAGUAGUUUCUCAACCGUAUGUUUUGGGGUUCCGUCCCACUGCAUAGCACCUUCUGCUCUUCUGCUAUAGCUCUAGGCCGACCAAAGCCUUGUGUGUCUAUUUUGUAUAGACAGAAACUGAAAGAAUCCCUUUGGUUCACCGAAGUGAUAACUUGGCUGGUAGGCAACCCCGAGUGCUAGUUAAGUCACACCCAUCUUUUUUUCUAUCUUUCAUUAACUUGGAGAUGUUGCCAUAGACGUAUUCAUUGGUAAUUUUCUGCAUCUAUUGCUGAUAAAAGAUCAUAUAAAAGAUGUGAAGUUAGCCAAGAUACAAGUCUGACAUCCAUAAAGGAGGGUUUUCUUUCUGCUGUAAAGAUAUUAUUCUUGUCUUUUCUGAAAAGGUUGGAGGUUUACAUAUUCUUUAUAUCACUGAGCAGUUUCCAGUCAACCCUCUAUGCACUUUGAUGCCCCCACCCUCUCCAAGGUUGCUGUGAAUGUUUCCAAGAACUUGGAAUCAUAAACCUGCUUGAAUGGAGUCCCUUCAAUAACUUGAGUGACUUAUGAUAUAGCCUGACUUUGUUGCACUGAGUUUAUAUCCCUGACAGAAGGAUCUGAUCAUUUGUGAUUUCUUCCAGUAUCAAAGUGAUGUCAUUGAUAAGGUUCAAAUCAAUUAGUGUCAUCAAACGAAUCUUCUUGAGCUUCCCGUGGUGUAAUGAUGAAUUCUAGUUUCUUAUUAUCCCCAAUUGCUUGUUGAGGGCUUAGCCAAAAUGAUAACAUGUGUAGAACCCCAACCUGCUUCUCAAGCACUUUAAUUUCACUAUUCUGUGCCAUGUAUGUGUGUGGACUUGCUGGCUUGAAGGAUAUGAAGUAGUUUUCCUUAUACCUUAAGGGUCUUCAUCAUUUCUUUACUCUUAUGAAUUGAAUCAAGUGCUUUCUUGAAGUUGAUAAAUAUCAAGAUAACAGUGAAUAGGUUUUUCAUCUCUUCUAUUAUUCUUAGAAAGGACCAGGAUCUGUGCAAUAUUGCUUGCUUCAUAUGGAAACUAUUCUGGUUGUAUCUCAGCUUGGGACUAAUGGCUACAUUUAUCUUGUGAGAGAUUAUCUGAAUAUAGAGCUGCAGAAAGGCAGGUUACCCUGAUACCAUGAUAGUUGUCAGUCUUGGUAAGUGAUCUGGACUU
rnacentral:lncRNA from 1 species